AGUCUAACAGAAAUUUCAAGUCCAACUUCUAGUAGUCCAACAUUCCCCUUACUUAAAAGCUCAAUUGUUAGAAAGGAGAAAAAGAAAGAAAGAAAAAACAAGAGAAUGAAAGAAAGAAAGAAAAAACAAGAGAAUGAAAGAAAGAAAGAAAAAGGGAGGGCAUAAUAUAAAAGAAGAGGGAAAAUGAAGAAGAAAGAAAAGAAAGAAAAAAAAAAAAAAAAAGAUAAAAAUCUCUCCAUUGCAUGUUCUACCUCCAAGUUUACCCACACAGUUCAUUUACAAUAUAUGCUUCUUACAAGAACAUUGAAUACAAAUGAGGAGAGAAAGAUAGAAAGAAAGAGGAUUAAGUUUCACUCUUGAAGAAACAAAAUAAAGAUUGAGGAUGGAAGUCAAGUGAAAGUUAUUAUCAAUGAAUGAGAUUAAAGCUCAAACUUAAGAAAAAGACACAACUUCUCACAUCUAAAAGUUAAGGUAACAUAGAAAACUCAUUUAAAACUUGUCUUAUGUGUGCUUAGAGAUUAUGAUUUGCAUGUUUGGGUAUUUAGAUAAUCCUAUUUGAUUUAGUAUAAUUGAUUAUUAAUAAUGUAUAUUAGGUGUUUGUAUUAAUUGCUAUGAAGAGUUGUUGUUUUAUUAUGAUUGAGUGUUGUGGUUGGAUUGACGACGAGAUGAUAAUUGUUUAGUAUUGGUAAUGAAUUGAUUUAUGCUUAAUUUUAAAUGUAUUUUACUUAGUUGAGCAUAUGAACUUGAUAAUAUAAAGUUUAAAAUGAAAAUAGUAUAAUGUUGUUUUUGAACUCAUAUAGAUAGAUGUUCGGUAUUUUGUUCAUAACUUUUUCCAUAGAUAGUGUGUUGGGAUGAUUUUUGUCCCAUUAGAAAUUAGAAUUAAUUACCUUUGAAAUAGGUACUAGUUUCACUAAUUUUCAUUGAGAAUUGAUAAAGGAUAGUGAGUUAGAAGUUGGAAAAAACAUGUUGUUAAGUUUUCGCACAUAUAUACCUUAUGUUAUUAAACUCUAUUAAUUGAAUGUCUAUUAUGUAGGAUAAAAAUUACAUUUAUAAAUUAGACACCUUAAGCUUUUUAAAAUGUUAUUGUUUAUUCAAAUCAAACAUCGUUUGAUAUUUUAAUUAAAUUGUCAAAGCUAUAGUGUUUUCUACAGAAAAUGAUUAUGACGUAGCUGAAUUAAAAUGUGUAUAUCAGAAGCAAUAUAAAUCGAUUUUGAGUAAAAUUAGUUGGGUUUGAAAGAAGACAUAUAGUUGUUUUAUCAUGUUAAGAUUCACGGUUUUUAUAAAUAUAAAAAUGACUCAGUAGUAUUGUAAACACAACUGCUCUGUUAUAAGAUUUUUAUGUAAUGUUAACUUUAGAAUACUAUAACUUGAGUUAUAAAGAUCAGUUUCGAGUGAAACAAAUUACAUUUGAAAGUUUUCAAGAUUUAUAAUUAAAUUUUAGGCAUUACAUUUUAAUAAUAAUAAUAAUAAUAAUAAUAAUUAUAAUAAUAAUAAUAAUAAUAAUAAUAUAAAAAGAAAGAAGAAUUUGUAUUAUCAAUAUAAACUAGUUUUACCUUAAUGUUAAAUAAAAAUAAAGUAUGAAGUAAUUAUAAAAAAAAGUUGUUACAAUAUGUAUCAACAUAAUAAGAUGAUUCAUUCAUGUUGGAGGAUAGUCUAAAAUUAUUUUAUCCUUUCUAUGCAUAAUCAUUAUAUUAGUAUAUAAACAAUUAAUAUGAUUUAAUCUAACUAUGAAUCAAAAGUAGUUGAGAUUUAUUAAUUUUUUUAGUUCUUUUGUUUUAUGUGAGAUAUUUAUUAAUAAGCAAUAAAAUGCAUAUUAUCUUCCUCUUGUAUCUUUGGUAGUUUACAAUUGUUGCAUAUAGAUUACAGGAAUUUAAUUGAUUUGUAAUUAUACCAACCACCCUUAACUUUCUCAUGAAUUAUUAUUUAUUUUAUAAAUAAAAAUCACUUUUCAAUGCAAAAGAACACGAAUAUUAAAUAUGAGUCUAUGGUUGAAAAACAAAAGUCAAUUAUAUUUUUUAUUUCUAAAACUCUAGCUCAUUAUUUUGAAAAAAUAAAAUAGAAUGCGAAAACUACCAAACAUUAUUUCCUUCACCAUUGCCUUCAACGAUCGCCAGACUCUGUGUAUGAGAAUUAAAAUUAUAUAACUAAAAUAUUAAAACAGCUUAUAAAUAAUCAUGCACAUAAUUUAAAUUAUUAGAAAAAAACAUUAAAUUUUCACCUCAACAAUUUGAUCAGUUGUCCCAUUAAACUUUACGAGCAAAUUUUAGUUGUUAGUGAGUUUACCGAUACUAUAAAUGUUGAGUAAUUUUUAUAAGUAUCCAAAAAUAUAAAACAUUUUUGCAUAUUUAUGUAUGUAUGUAUGGCAAGUAGAUAAGAUGUUUUGGGCUUUUUAAGCGAAUGUCUUAAUCUCUAUUUGGUCUCAUGUGUUAUUUUUUUACUAAUUGUUUUCUCAUGUUCAGUCAUGUCUACGCAAUUUAUCAGUAGAAAAGAUAUUGUUCACAUGUAAAUGUCAGAGAAUACGUUGUUACUUGUUACCACUAUUUAUAAAAAAACAGAAAAUGUGCCAGAUUUUAAAUCUUAUUUUUAUACAUCAACUUGCAGAAAAGUAUUGAACAUUGCGUUGACACAUUUUUGCAAAUUACAU
rnacentral:lncRNA from 1 species